AGUGAACGCUGGCGGCGUGCCUAAUACAUGCAAGUCGAGCGAACGCAUGAUAAGCUUUCGCCUCUAACGUUAGCGGCUGACGGAUGAGUAACACGUGCAUAACCUACCUAUAAUACUGGGGGAACUUCGUGAAACCAGUUCUAAUACCGCAGAAUAUGUCCAACGGCUGGAAUCAGUAGUUAAACACACUUUUGCUGUCUCUUUGAGAUGGAUCCGGGUCGCAUUAGCUAGUUGGUAAGGUAACGGCUUACCAAGGCAACGAUGCGUAGCCGACCUGAGAGGGUGAUCGGCCACACUGGAACUGAGACACGGUCCAGACUCCUACGGGAGGCAGCAGUAGGGAAUAUUCCGCAAUGGGCGCAAGCCUGACGGAGCAACGCCGCGUGAGUGAUGAAGGUCUUCGGAUCGUAAAACCCUGUUAUUAGGGAAGAAAAACAGUGUAAGAAACUCUGGACGUUUUGACGGUACCUAAACAGUAAGCAACGGCUAACUUCGUG
rnacentral:rRNA from 1 species